rnacentral:rRNA from 1 species
CCACGGACCGCGACCC